CCUACGGGAGGCAGCAGUGAGGAAUAUUGGUCAAUGGACGAGAGUCUGAACCAGCCAAGUAGCGUGAAGGAUGACUGCCCUAUGGGUUGUAAACUUCUUUUAUAUGGGAAUAAAAUGUUCCACGUGUGGGAUUUUGUAUGUACCAUAUGAAUAAGGAUCGGCUAACUCCGUGCCAGCAGCCGCGGUAAUACGGAGGAUCCGAGCGUUAUCCGGAUUUAUUGGGUUUAAGGGGAGCGUAGGUGGAUUGUUAAGUCAGUUGUGAAAGUUUGCGGCUCAACCGUAAAAUUGCAGUUGAAACUGGCAGUCUUGAGUACAGUAGAGGUGGGCGGAAUUCGUGGUGUAGCGGUGAAAUGCUUAGAUAGCACGAAGAACUCCGAUUGCGAAGGCAGUUCACUGGACUGCAACUGACACUGAGGCUCGAAAGUGUGGGUAUCAAACAGGAUUAGAUACCCCUGUAGUC
rnacentral:rRNA from 1 species